rnacentral:rRNA from 1 species
GAUGAACGCUGGCGGCGUGCUUAACACAUGCAAGUCGAACGGGAAUUAUUUUAUUGACACUUCGGUCGAUUUAAUUUAAUUCUAGUGGCGGACGGGUGAGUAACGCGUGGGUAACCUGCCUUAUACAGGGGGAUAACAGUCAGAAAUGGCUGCUAAUACCGCAUAAGCGCACAGAGCUGCAUGGCUCAGUGUGCAAAACUCCGGUGGUAUAAGAUGGACCCGCGUUGGAUUAGCUUGUUGGCAGGGUAACGGCCUACCAAGGCGACGAUCCAUAGCCGGCCUGAGAGGGUGAACGGCCACAUUGGGACUGAGACACGGCCCAGACUCCUACGGGAGGCAGCAGUGGGGAAUAUUGCACAAUGGGGGAAACCCUGAUGCAGCGACGCCGCGUGAAGGAAGAAGUAUCUCGGUAUGUAAACUUCUAUCAGCAGGGAAGAUAGUGACGGUACCUGACUAAGAAGCCCCGGCUAACUACGUG